GACGAACGCUGGCGGCGCGCUUAACACAUGCAAGUCGAGCGGACUUAGUAGCAAUACUAAGUUAGCGGCGGACGGGUGAGUAACGCGUGGGCAAUCUGCCUUAAAGAGGGGGAUAACACAGAGAAAUCUGUGCUAAUACCGCAUAACCCAAGUUUGCCGCAUGGUGAGCUUGGCAAAGGAGCAAUUCACUUUAAGAUGAGCCCGCGUCUGAUUAGCUAGUUGGUGGGGUAACGGCCUACCAAGGCGACGAUCAGUAGCCGAACUGAGAGGUUGAUCGGCCACAUUGGGACUGAGACACGGCCCAGACUCCUACGGGUGGCUG
rnacentral:rRNA from 1 species